rnacentral:rRNA from 1 species
UACAGAGGGUGCAAGAGUUAAUCGGAAUUACUGGGCGUAAAGCGUGCGUAGACGGUUUUGUAAGUCGGAUGUGAAAUCCCCGGGCUCAACCUGGGAAUUGCAUUCGAUACUGCGAAGCUAGGGUACGGUAGAGGGAAGCGGAAUUUCCGGUGUAGCGGUGAAAUGCGUAGAUAUCGGAAGGAACAUCAGUGGCGAAAGCGGCUUCCUGGACCAGUACCGACGUUCAGGCACGAAAGCGUGGGGAGCAUACAGG